GAUGAACGCUGGCGGCGUGCCUAAUACAUGCAAGUCGAGCGAACAGACGAGGAGCUUGCUCCUCUGACGUUAGCGGCGGACGGGUGAGUAACACGUGGAUAACCUACCUAUAAGACUGGGAUAACUUCGGGAAACCGGAGCUAAUCCCGGAUAAUAUAUUGAACCGCAUGGUUCAAUAGUGAAAGCCGGUUUUGCUGUCACUUAUAAUUGGAUCCGCGCCGCAUUAGCUAGUUGGUAAGGUAACGGCUUACCAAGGCAACGAUGCGUAGCCGACCUGAGAGGGUGAUCGGCCACACUGGAACUGAGACACGGUCCAGACUCCUACGGGAGGCAGCAGUAGGGAAUCUUCCGCAAUGGGCGAAAGCCUGACGGAGCAACGCCGCGUGAGUGAUGAAGGUCUUCGGAUCGUAAAACUCUGUUAUUAGGGAAGAACAAAUGUGUAAGUAACUAUGCACGUCUUGACGGUACCUAAUCAGAAAGCCACGGCUAACUACGUG
rnacentral:rRNA from 1 species